rnacentral:lncRNA from 1 species
GCAACGUGUAUGGGAUUAACCUCAACAUAGCAGGUCUGGAUGCCCGACACAUUUCUGCCCAUGUGUCCAGUCCCUCUGGGGCCAUAGAAGAAGCAGACAUCACAACAACAGAAGAUGACAUCUACUCUGAGCUUCAUGCCCAGUGAGACGGGUGUCCAUGCACUUAGUGUGAGCUGAUUUCAGUAUCUGGGCUCGAGGCAGGUGCCGGUAACAAUGGAGGGCCCAGGUCAGGCAGAGCUCACCUUUGAGGACAGGGAAGAUGGCUUCUGUGGGAUCUCCUACAUUGCUCAGGAACCAGGUGAGGCCAUAAAAUCUCCUCCCUCGGUUGACAUACAAGAUUCUACUUGAUUGGUCAAUUCAGAAAGCCUAGAGAGCCUCAGAGCAUGCACAGACCAGCUGGCUGGUGUGUUUACGGACAUAUUCAAUCAAUCCCUAUCCCAGCCUGCUGUCACCACAUGCUUCAAGAUCGCCACCAUUGUUCCGGGACCCAAGAAGGAAAAAAUAUCUGAACUAAAUGACUACUGCCCCAUAGCACUCACUUCUGUCAUCAUGAAGUGCUUUGAGAGACUAGUCAAGGAUCAUAUCACCUCCACCUUACCGGCCACCAUAGACCCACUUCAGUUUGCAUACCGCCCCAACAGGUCCACAGACGAUGCAAGAAUGCUGUUCAUUGACUGCAGUUCAGCAUUCAACACCAUAGUACCCUCCAAGCUCAUCAUCAAGCUGGAGGCCCUGGGUCUCAACCCCGCCCUGUGCAAUUGGGUCCUGGACUUUCUAAUGGGCUGCAGCUGUCCAGGUGGUGAAUGUAGGAAACAACAUCUCCACUUCGCUGACUAUCAACACUGGGGGGGCCCACAAGGGUGCGUUCUCAGCCUUCUCCUGUACUCCAUGUUCACCCAUGACUGCGUGGCCAUGCAUGCCUCCAACUCAAUCAAGUUUGCAGACGACACAACAGUUGUGGACUUGAUUAACAACAACGACGAGACAGCCUACAAGGAGGUGGUGAGGGCACUCGGAGUGUGGUGUCAGGAAAAUAACCUAACUCAACGUUGCUGCCUACAUUGAGACUCAAUCACUGGACACUUUAAUAAAUAGAUCACUGGACACUUUAAAUAAUGCCACUUUAACAAUGUUUACUUAUCUUACAUUACUCAUGUGUAUAUACUGUAUUUUAUUGCACCUUGCCUAUGCCGAUCGGCCAUCGCUCAUCCAUAUAUACUACUCAAAAAAAUAAAGGGAACACUUAAACAACACAUCCUAGAUCUGAAUGAAAGAAAUAAUCUUAUUAAAUACAUUUUUCUUUACAUAGUUGAAUAUGCUGACAACAAAAAUCACACAAAAAUAAUCAAUGGAAAUCCAAUUUAUCAACCCAUGGAGGUCUGGAUUUGGAGUCACACUCAAAAUUAAAGUGGAAAACCACACUACAGGUUGAUCCAACUUUGAUGUAAUGUCCUUAAAACAAGUCAAAAUGAGGCUCAGUAGUGUGUGUGGCCUCCACGUGCCUGUAUGACCUCCCUACAACGCCUGGGCAUGCUCCUGAUGAGGUGGCGGAUGGUCUCCUGAGGGAUCUCCUCCCAGACCUGGACUAAAGCAUCCGCCAACUCCUGGACAGUCUGUGGUGCAACGUGGCGUUGGCGGAUGGAGCGAGACAUGAUGUCCCAGAUGUGCUCAAUUGGAUUCAGGUCUGGGGAACGGGCGGGCCAUUCCAUAGCAUCAAUGCCUUCCUCUUGCAGAAACUGCUGACACACUCCAGCCACAUGAGGUCUAGCAUUGUCUUGCAUUAGGAGGAACCCAGGGCCAACCGCACCAGCAUAUGGUCUCACAAGGGGUCUGAGGAUCUCAUCUCGGUACCUAAUGGCAGUCAGGCUACCUCUGGUGAGCACAUGGAGGGCUGUGCGGCCCCUCAAAGAAAUGCCACCGCACCCCAUGACUGACCCACCGCCAAACCGGUCAUGCUGGAGGAUGUUGCAGGCAGCAGAACGUUCUCCACAGCGUCUCCAGACUCUGUCACGUCUGUCACGUGCUCAGUGUGAACCUGCUUUCAUCUGUGAAGAGCACAGGGCGCCAGUGGCGAAUUUGCCAAUCUUGGUGUUCUCUGGCAAAUGCCAAACGUCCUGCACGGUGUUGGGCUGUAAGCACAACCCCCACCUGUGGACGUUGUGCCCUCAUACCACCCUCAUGGAGUCUGUUUCUGACCGUUUGAGCAGACACAUGCACAUUUGUGGCCUGCUGGAGGUCAUUUUGCAGUGCUCUGGCAGUGCUUCUCCUGCUCCUCCUUGCACAAAGGCGGAGGUAGCGGUCCUGCUGCUGGGUUGUUGCCCUCCUACGGCCUCCUCCAUGUCUCCUGAUGUACUGGCCUGUCUCCUGGUAGCGCCUCCAUGCUCUGGACACUACGCUGACAGACACAGCAAACCUUCUUGCCACAGCUCGCAUUGAUGUGCCAUCCUGGAUGAGCUGCACUACCUGAGCCACUUGUGUUGGUUGUAGACUUCGUCUCAUUCUACCACUAGAGUGAAAGCACCGCCAGCAUUCAAAAGUGACCAAAACAUCAGCCAGGAAGCAUAGGAACUGAGAAGUGGUCUGUGGUCCCCACCUGCAGAACCACUCCUUUAUUGGGGGUGUCUUGCUAAUUGCUUAUUUCCACCUGUUGUCUAUUCCAUUUGCACAACAGCAUGUGAAAUGUAUUGCCAAUCAGUGUUGCUUCCUAAGUGGACAGUUUGAUUUCACAGAAGUGUGAUUGACUUGGAGUUACAUUGUGUUGUUUAAGUGUUCCCUUUAUUUUUUUGAGCAGUGUAUUUAUAUGUACAGAUUCUCAUUCACCCCUUUAGAUUUGUGUGUAUCAGGUAGUUGUUGGCGGUGUUAGAUUACUAGUUCAAUAUUACUGCAAUGUCUGCACUAGAAGCACAAGCAUUUCGCUACACUCGCAUUAACAUCUGCUAACCGUGUGUAUGUGACCAAUAAAAUUUGAUUUGUGUGAAGCUCAAUAACCUUGAAUCUCUGUGAGCUGUAAAGGAGGGGCUCAUUAUCUCACUGAGUC